rnacentral:tRNA from 14 species
GGGCCUAUAGCUCAGUCGGUUAGAGCGCAUCCCUGAUAAGGAUGAGGCCGGUGGUUCAAGUCCACCUAGGCCCACCA